GAUCCUGGCUCAGGACGAACGCUGGCGGCCCGCCUAACACAUGCAAGUCGAACGAGCGGGAGAGAGCUUGCUUUCUCGAGCGAGUGGCGAACGGGUGAGUAACGCGUGAGGAACCUGCCUCAAAGAGGGGGACAACAGUUGGAAACGACUGCUAAUACCGCAUAAGCCCACGGGUCGGCAUCGACCAGAGGGAAAAGGAGCAAUCCGCUUUGAGAUGGCCUCGCGUCCGAUUAGCUAGUUGGUG
rnacentral:rRNA from 1 species